GGUUGACCUCGGAUCAGGUAGGGAUACCCGCUGAACUUAAGCAUAUCAAUAAGCGGAGGAAAAGAAACCAACAGGGAUUGCCUUAGUAACGGCGAGUGAAGCGGCAACAGCUCAAAUUUGAAAGCUGGCCCUUUUAGGGUCCGCAUUGUAAUUUGUAGAGGAUGAUUCGGCGAGGGCUCCUGCCUAAGUCCCCUGGAACGGGGCGUCAUAGAGGGUGAGAAUCCCGUAUGCGGUAGGUUGCCUUAGCCAUGUGAAUCUCCUUCGACGAGUCGAGUUGUUUGGGAAUGCAGCUCUAAAUGGGAGGUAAAUUUCUUCUAAAGCUAAAUACCGGCCAGAGACCGAUAGCGCACAAGUAGAGUGAUCGAAAGAUGAAAAGCACUUUGGAAAGAGAGUUAAAAAGUACGUGAAAUUGUUGAAAGGGAAGCGCUUGCAACCAGACUUGUCCGCAGUUGCUCAGCCGGUCUCCUGACCGGCGUACUCUUCUGCGGCCAGGCCAGCAUCAGUUCGGGCGGUCGGAUAAAGGCCUCGGGAAUGUGGCUCCUCUCGGGGAGUGUUAUAGCCCGGGGUGCAAUGCGGCCAGCCUGGACUGAGGAACUCGCUUCGGCAAGGAUGCUGGCGUAAUGGUUGUAAGCGGCCCGUCUUGAAACACGGACCAAGGAGUCUAACAUCUAUGCGAGUGUUCGGGUGUCAAACCCGUACGCGUAAUGAAAGUGAACGGAGGUGGGAACCCGCAAGGGUGCACCAUCGGCCGAUCCUGAUGUCUUCGGAUGGAUUUGAGCAAGAGCAUAGCUGUUGGGACCCGAAAGAUGGUGAACUAUGCCUGAAUAGGGUGAAGCCAGAGGAAACUCUGGUGGAGGCUCGCAGCGGUUCUGACGUGCAAAUCGAUCGUCAAAUUUGGGUAUAGGGGCGAAAGACUAAUCGAACCAUCUAGUAGCUGGUUCCUGCCG
rnacentral:rRNA from 1 species